GGGGGUAGCUUGGGGGUUGUGGCUGGAGAAGCCAGCAGAGAGGAGGCUGGGGCCAAGGGGUUUUCAGGGCAGGUGGUGCAGGGAGCACCCUGGGGAGGCUGCGUCCAGUGGGGUCCCCAAAAUCAAGGGCACCGCGCUGAGGUCUGGUGUCUGGGUGUGAGGCUCCUGUCAGGGGGCGGUGGGGCAGGGUGGGCUGAGCGCUGUACUCCAAGGGGGGAGAAUCUGCCGCUGCCCUGCUGAGCUGCUGAGCUGCUGAGCUGUCUCUUCCCCUCUGCAGGGCAAAACCUGGGCUUCCUCCUGGAAAUCCCGCAGGAUGCAGUCACUGGCACCGUGGGGCACUCCGUGCUCCUUCCCAUCUCCUACAGAUGCAACAGCACCUCUUGCUUCCCACUGUCAAUUAAGUGGCUGUUUGGUCACACCUCACAAAGAACCAUCUCCUGCACCGUGCAGAAGUGCUCUCUGGAUGAUGGGGGGGCUCCCAAGAACUGCUCCACAAACUGCUUCCCCCAUCCUGCACAUUGGGGCCGUGUUGUGCUCUUCCCCGAGAACGCAUCCCUGCUGCUAUGGGACCUGCGGCUCAGUGACAGCGGGGUGUACACCGUCAGCCUCCAGCACCAAAUACAAAUCAGGAACAUCACCCUGACCGUGCUCCAGCAGCCUGUCACCCCAGACCAUUCCAGCGAAGGGAGAAACCUGGGCUUCCUCGUGGAAAUCCCGCAGGAUGCAGUCACUGGCACCGUGGGGCAGUCCGUGCUCCUGCCCGUCUCCUACAGAUGCAACAGCACCUCUUGCUUCCCGGUGGCAAUUCAUUGGCUGUUUAGUCACCCCUUAGAAACAAUCAUUGCCUGCACAGUGCAGAACUGCUCCCUGGGUGAUGGGGGGUCUCCCAAGAACUGCUCCACAAAAUGGUACCCCUAUCCUACACAUCGGGGCCGUGUUGAGCUCUUCCCCGAGAACGCAUCCCUGCUGCUGCGGGACCUGCGGCUCAGUGACAGCGGGGUGUACACCGUCAGCUUCCAACAGCACCAAAGACAAAGCAGGCACAUCACCCUGACCGUGCUCCAGCAGCCUUUCCCCACAGAACCUUCCAGCAAAGGUAAGUGUCCCUGUGCUG
rnacentral:lncRNA from 1 species